rnacentral:rRNA from 1 species
AUUGAACGCUGGCGGCAGGCCUAACACAUGCAAGUCGAACGGUAACAGGAAGAAGCUUGCUUCUUUGCUGACGAGUGGCGGACGGGUGAGUAAUGUCUGGGAAACUGCCUGAUGGAGGGGGAUAACUACUGGAAACGGUAGCUAAUACCGCAUAACGUCGCAAGACCAAAGAGGGGGACCUUCGGGCCUCUUGCCAUCGGAUGUGCCCAGAUGGGAUUAGCUAGUAGGUGGGGUAACGGCUCACCUAGGCGACGAUCCCUAGCUGGUCUGAGAGGAUGACCAGCCACACUGGAACUGAGACACGGUCCAGACUCCUACGGGAGGCAGCAGUGGGGAAUAUUGCACAAUGGGCGCAAGCCUGAUGCAGACAUGCCGCGUGUAUGAAGAAGGCCUUCGGGUUGUAAAGUACUUUCAGCGGGGAGGAAGGGAGUAAAGUUAAUACCUUUGCUCAUUGACGUUACCCGCAGAAGAAGCACCGGCUAACUCCGUG